rnacentral:rRNA from 1 species
UAGGGAAUCUUCCACAAUGGGUGCAAACCUGAUGGAGCAAUGCCGCGUGAAUGAAGAAGGUCUUCGGAUCGUAAAGUUCUGUUAUUAGUGAAGAACAAAUCGAGGAGUAACUGUCUCGAUUUUGACGGUAACUAACCAGAAAGUCACGGCUAACUACGUGCCAGCAGCCGCGGUAAUACGUAGGUGACAAGCGUUGUCCGGAAUUAUUGGGCGUAAAGGGAGCGCAGGCGGUUGGAAUAGUCUGAUGUGAAAGCCCACGGCUUAACCGUGGAAGGUCAUUGGAAACUGUCCAACUUGAAUGCAGAAGAGGUAAGUGGAAUUCCAUGUGUAGCGGUGAAAUGCGUAGAUAUAUGGAGGAACACCAGUGGCGAAGGCGACUUACUGGUCUGUAAUUGACGCUGAGGCUCGAAAGCGUGGGGUAGCGAACAGGAUUAGAUACCC